UGAGCCUGUUGCCAGUGCACUGCCAGAC
rnacentral:piRNA from 1 species